rnacentral:lncRNA from 1 species
GCUGCUGGAGUUUCUGCAGGUAAGAAGCACCCAUCCUUCCGUGAAUCCACUCUAUCCCAGGCUCUGCCGAUGGUGUCCUCUGAGUGCUUCACUCAUCCUUCUAUAUCUACCCUGACACCACAACAGUGGGAGAUGUUGCAUUUACCUCUUUCCUGGUCCCCAUUUAUUCCCCUUCCUCUUUCCCACCAUGGCUCACCCCAUGAGAUAUUCUCCCUCCUGCUUCAGACCAUUGAAUGACUUUCUGGUUUUCUUAGAUAAAACCCCAUGUGUUCCCCCUACACACACAGAGAGACACACCACACACACACACACACACACACACACACACAUACACCACACACACACACACACCACACACACACACACCACACAUACACAGACACACACACCACACAGACACACACACCACACACAUACACACACACAUACCACAUAGACACACACACACCACACCACACACACACACACACACACACACACAUCCUAUACUUUCUUCCUCUUCCCCACCCCUGCUGUUUUUCUGGUUCUGCAUGCUGCUUCCUCCCACUCUAUCCUCUAUCCUACUGGCCUCCUCAGCACUUCCUGAGCUCCACUGAGACUCUCCUAACCAAGAGGUCCUCUCUACUUUCUCCAGCCUGAGUCCUCCCCAUGCCCUGACCAUCCUUACAGCCUGACUCCUCCCCAUGCCCUGACCGUCCUUACUCCCAGCCCCCGUCUU